UUGAGCCACGUGCUGGGAAACUCGCAUGCGUGGUUCUUAGGGGAGUUGGGGCUGGUAACAGCCCCUGCUUACCCGGC
rfam:Paraglaciecola psychrophila 170 chromosome, complete genome.